rnacentral:tRNA from 1 species
CUCGUGGCAUAGUGGUAACGCGUUCUAUCUAGUAAAUUGUAAUUCGUGAGUUUAAUUCUCACCGAG